CCCGCCCCCGCCAGGGGAGAAGGAGGGCGGGGAGGACAGGGGCGGGCGAGAGGGAGGGACGAGACUAAGGGAUAGAAGAUAGCCGAGGAAGGGUAGGAGGGGCGCCUGGCGUCCCCAACGCACCCCGCGUUUCCCCCGACUCAGAGCCACUUAAGCGCACGGCUUUGCUUGGAGGUUCGCGCCUGUAGCAAUCCGCGCGCCCUGCCUGCUGCAAGUCGCGUCCCCCACCCCACUCCACCCCCCCACCGCCCCGUCAUCAGAGGAGUUUGCUGAGGCUGGGCACCACCCCGGGAGUGCCCCAGGCCGAACUGAAUGGCGCACGCGGCCCGGCACUAGCGGGUGGCUUCGGCAGGGCCAGACCGAGGCCUCAAGUGUUCUUCUUUGAGAUGGGCGGGGCGCAAGGAACCUCACCACCAGAUUGGCAACAGGCGGACCAUGCUCAUGCCGUUCCCGUUCCCGAGGGCCCUUGUCCUUGGCAUGGACUAGAAGGCUUGAGCCUACUCUGGACUGAAGCCCUGCUAACUAACUCGGAGCUGAUCCCAAGCUGGGAGAGCAAGGGUAGAAGAGGAUGUAGCUGCUUCCAGGUGCAGCGCUUCCAGCUUCUGGGCCAUCUCUUUAUGUCGUUGCCGAUACCAGCCGUCAAAAUUGGGGGACCUGAAGAAACGCCUGUGACGGCGAGAGGCGGCUGAAGAGCCGGCCUCGUGCGUUUGGGGGCACCCCCAGCGGCCUGUGCCCAAAUGUUUACCCACCUGUAGAGGCCCAGCCAGUCACCCUUGAGGAUGCAGCUCUACUGAUGAUGAAGAGGGUUGUCUGAUCUGCCUACAGCCCCAUUCCCUCGACAGAACCCGCACGUCUCUCACCCCAUCCGUCCCGAGACUCAGGAGACCUGCUAAAGAAGACAACGUCCCCCCCACCUGCCACCAUGGGGCCUGAGUAGAAAGAAAAAGCGUCAGAAGGCCUGGCCAUCGCCACUGGAGGAAUCUACCUAGUGCA